UUGUUCCCGGGUAAGAAGUCGGCAAUCUCCCUCUCGAAUCCGACCUCAUUCACACGAUUCCUUUCUUCCACGUUACAUUUUCUUCGAUUUUCGUUUCCUUCUCUGGCAAGUCUAUCUUCUCUUGCUCUCUUCAUUUCCACUUCACACUUUCCCACUGUUACACCACAAAACCUAUCCUCUCAAUUUUUCCCCACCAUUCUUUGUCGUUUUCUCAAUCCACAAUCUUAAUUGGGCGAUUGGAGGUGGUUUCGCUACUGUAAUCGGAUCUGAUCUGAUCGAAUUUGAUUGUUUGUUUUUGACCUGGAUUGAUCCCAUGGAGAAGCAAGAGGACGGUGUUUGCGCGGCGGAGUUUGUCGACGGGAGCCUUGACGUCUGGAGUUGUAAAAAUUCCGAUUCUUCUUCCGCCGAUCACCUCGUUGUUAUGGUUCAUGGCAUCAUGGGAAGUACGGACGAUUGGAAAUUUGGAGCCGAAAAGUUCGUCAAAAUGCUGCCAGACAAAGUAUUUGUUCACUGUAGUGAGAAAAACGCGUCUGCGCUUACUCUUGAUGGUGUGGAUGUAAUGGGUGAACGUCUUGCAUCUGAGGUUCGUGAAAUUAUUGAAACAAGACCAAACAUCCGUAAAAUCUCCUUUGUUGCACAUUCUUUGGGAGGACUUGCAGCAAGAUAUGCUAUUGGGAAGCUGUACAAGCCAGCUAAUCAGGAAGAUGUGAAAGGCUCUUCAGGGGACAGUAGUGAAGCGACUUCCGAAGGCACAAUUUGCGGCCUCGAGGCUAUGAAUUUCAUCACUGUUGCUACACCACAUUUGGGUUCAAUGGGUAAUAGACAGGUUCCGUUUCUCUUUGGUGUUUCCUCCUUUGAGAAAGUUGCAGGUCUCAUUAUCCACUGGAUAUUUAAAAGAACAGGCCGUCAUCUUUUCUUGAAAGAUGAAGAAGAGGGAAAACCACCCUUGCUUCGACGCAUGGUGGAAGAUACCGGUGACUGUCAUUUCAUAUCUGCACUGCGUGCCUUCAAAAGGCGGGUGGUUUAUUCAAAUGUCAGCUAUGAUCACAUCGUUGGCUGGAAGACGGCAUCUAUUAGACGUGACAGUGAAUUGCCUAAGUGGGAAGAUUCUCUGAACGAGAAGUAUCCUCAUAUUGUUUACGAAGAACUCUGCAAGUCAUGUGAUGCUGAGGACAUACCAGAAGGCGAGAAUCAUCUAAAUGACAUAGAAGAAGAAAUGAUCAAAGGUCUCUCCUCUGUCUCUUGGGAAAAAGUUGAUGUUAGCUUUCAUAGUAGCAGGCAGAGAUUCGCUGCCCAUAGUGUUAUACAGGUUAAAAACGAAACUAUGCAUAUAGAAGGAGCAGAUGUCAUAGAGCAUAUCAUCGAUCAUUUCCAUGCAUAAAUCAUUAAAAUUCAUACAACUAAGGACUCGAGUUUCAUAGGUAGCAAGACGUCAAUUAUGCAAAUCACGUGAUACAUGGUCUUACCAACGAAGAAAAUAUUGUUCGAUUCAUUGUUUCAUGUAUUCAUCAAUAUUAUGCAAUGAAAGUGUAAAAUAGAGUACUUAAAGAACGGAAGUUUUGUGCCUAUAUAUUCGAUUAUUCGUUCUACUUGGAAGGAUUCCUACUGAGUUGGCGUUAUCACUUGGUAAUCAACGUCCUAACAACCAGGCUGAAGCACUAAACUGCAAUCAGUUCACUCUCAUAUCUUUCAUAUUCCCCUCUGGUUGUUUCCUUUGUUUUGGUGACUUGGAAUAGUCAUAUCAUGUUGUAAGAUGUGAACAUGUUACGACCUUACAAUCAAUUACAUCUGGAAGCAGAAGCUCUGGUGGAGCGGGCCACAAAAGCAAUGGCUUAGAUUUUGUAUUUCUCUUUUGUUGCCUUACUCUUUUAUAUGCUUCAGUUCAAUGGUUGCCUGUAGUAUAACGGUUGCGUGCUUGUGACCAUGUAUGUGUUUAUAUAUAGAUAUUCAUUCUUUUGUGAAAUUCUACGAUGUCCAACAGAGGAGAGAUUUGAGAUCUGAAAUGGAACUCUGUUGUUGGUUGAAGACCCACUUGGUUUGAUGUUGUGCAGCGUGUAUUCACCCUAGUUUCAAUGUAUCCCAGUGGUUCCAAAGUAGUUCUCUUGGCUUUGUAGGAACCUUUGCCCAUGGUACUGUCUAGAUAUCUUAUCAGUUACAUCUCCUGGAGGUAGGUCCUGCUUCGCUUGGAGUCGGCAUGGUUGAAGCAAGGUGCAUCUGCAUGUGGGUGCCUGUUCUCUCAGACGACGACACAGUCUGGAUUCAUUAGUAUGGUCUU